GAAUCUGACUUCUCGGAGGAGGAGGAGUACUCAGACUAUGAGGAAUUGAUCUCCGAUGACGAUGAAUCAGAUGGCGAGCUGCAAAGAGCCUUUGAAAGAGGGGACAUAAAGCCUGGAUUGAACUUUGCAGCAGACAUUGAUGCGCGGAAUAAGGAAAUGAAGAAUGAUGUGGCUGGUCUUGAACAAAAACUAAAGGAGUUCAAACAGAGA